rnacentral:rRNA from 1 species
CUCCUUAAAUCANUUAUCGUUUAUUUGAUAGUACCUUACUACAUGGAUAACCGUGGUAAUUCUAGAGCUAAUACAUGCUAAAAAUCCCGACUUCGGAAGGGAUGUAUUUAUUAGAUUAAAAACCAAUGCCCUUCGGGGCUCUCUGGUGAUUCAUAAUAACUUCUCGAAUCGCACGGCCUUGCGCCGGCGAUGGUUCAUUCAAAUUUCUGCCCUAUCAACUUUC